rnacentral:rRNA from 1 species
UUGGAAACUGAUUUACUUGAGUGCGAUAGAGGCAAGUGGAACUCCAUGUGUAGCGGUGAAAAGCGUAGAUAUGUGGAAGAACACCAGUGGCGAAAGCGGCUUGCUAGAUCGUAACUGUCGUUGAGGCUCGAAAGUAUGGGUAGCAAACGGGAUUAGAUACCCCGGUAGUCCAUACCGUAAACGAUGGGUGCUAGUUGUUAAGAGGUUUCCGCCUCCUAGUGACGUAGCAAACGCAUUAAGCACCCCGCCUGAGGAGUACGGCCGCAAGGCUAAAACUUAAAGGAAUUGACGGGGACCCGCACAAGCGG